rnacentral:rRNA from 1 species
GAUGAACGCUGGCGGCGUGCCUAAUACAUGCAAGUCGAGCGAACAGAUGAGGAGCUUGCUCCUCUGACGUUAGCGGCGGACGGGUGAGUAACACGUGGAUAACCUACCUAUAAGACUGGGAUAACUUCGGGAAACCGGAGCUAAUACCGGAUAAUAUAUUGAACCGCAUGGUUCAAUAGUGAAAGACGGUUUUGCUGUCACUUCUAGAUGGAUCCGCGCCGCAUUAGCUAGUUGGUAAGGUAACGGCUUACCAAGGCAACGAUGCGUAGCCGACCUGAGAGGGUGAUCGGCCACACUGGAACUGAGACACGGCCCAGACUCCUACGGGAGGCAGCAGUAGGGAAUCUUCCGCAAUGGGCGAAAGCCUGACGGAGCAACGCCGCGUGAGUGAUGAAGGUCUUCGGAUCGUAAAACUCUGUUAUUAGGGAAGAACAAAUGUGUAAGUAACUAUGCACGUCUUGACGGUACCUAAUCAGAAAGCCACGGCUAACUACGUG